AAUAGGGUGGGCAGAAGGAGGGAACAGUCACAGUAGUUGUGAGUAUGUUCUGUAUUUCAAGAUUUCUCUCUGUCUCAGGGGAACGAGUCAGAAAGGAGAAGGCAGAGCCUGCCUCCAGCUGAACUCUUUGAGAUUGGCCAGAUUCAACGUGUUACAAACAAACAUAUUCCACCUGUUACAACAAUCUGGCAUAUUACUUCCUUGAUACGUGAUGAUACAAUACCUCUCAGGUUUGCUGAGUAGCAAAGAGAAAUUGGGUCUCCUACAAAAGGAAAGUUGUUACUGUGAGGAAUCUGCCUAGGAGCCAUGAGUCUUUAGAGGAGCAACAAAACAUCAAGAAAAUCAACCUAAACAUGGAAAUACAGUUCAGAGGAAGCACCUGUUUUUAUCCUGGAUGAGAAAUUUUCUCUGGAAAUUUUCCAUCAGAAAGUGCAAUUCAACUCAUUUCAAAAGGUAGAAAAUUCUAAUUCUAAUACCCUGAGGAGAGAGGGGGUUUUAAUUAGCCAUGGGACAUCCACGGAAAUCUGUACUCCGGGAAGACUGCACAUGGAUCCUGACACCUCCAGCAAAAAGACAACGUCUGACCUUGUCCCAGAAUUUCUGAGUUUCUCACUGUCUGCCACAAUACCUAAUUCCUAAAAGAGUGGUUUUCAGGAACUCUCACUGGUCCCGUCUUCUUUGCCUAAGUCAUAGUAGUAAAAUUAAUGAAAGCGAGGUGUAUUCAGUAUAUACUAGUUCUACAACUAGUCAUGCAAUUAUUUCUUUCACCUCCUAAAUCUGUGGACUCCUGACUUCAUUAAAUGGUUAAGGAGACCUUAGACCUGACAUGGUGCCCAGGAAGAAUGCAGUGAAGAUUCCUGCUUGUGACUUUAGUACUCUUUAAGCUCAGGAAGAAAACCAGAGCGCCCAGUAUGUAAUGGGAAGUGAAAGGCAAAAUGUUUUGCUUUCUUGUCCUCUUUCCAAACUUCCACUCCACUACUAUGGAGAAAAAAAAAGAGGGUUGCACAGUGGUGGUCAAGAUGGAGGUGGUGACACAUUUUUCCUCAAAUGGGAAUCUAGGAUCCAUCCUUGUUCUGCUCCUAAAGAGAACUGAGAAGCAGCAAGCCUCAGCAAACUCAUGUUACUCAAAGACAUUGAUACAUGAGAGAGUGGAGUCUUACUGACUAGUCUAAAGGAGCAUGCCAAAUUACUUUUCAAAGACAGAAUCAUUUCACCUACUUGUGAGAGCUAAAUUUCAAGAAUAUUAAAAGGAAGAAAAUUACUGCAUGAUAGGGAGCUGCCAUUGUAAUACGUGCUGCUUAGUGCUUGAACAUUGUAACUGUCAAGCUGAUUCUAUUAUGAAAAAGGGAGUAAUUUAACAUUAUUUAAUAUUCACAAUAUGCACAUAUUGAAUGGAAGUGUAUGUAGAAUGUAAGGCCCUAUUUCAGCAUAAAUGAAAUUUUAAUCACAGGAGUACUUCUAUUGGUUUUAAUAGAAUAACUCUUAUUCUCACUUUUAUGCAUGUGCAUAAUAAAUAAGAAGUUACUAACGAAUAUGUUUAAAAAUCACUGUGGUAUUACUUUCAAGAAAAUAUAGAAGAUAUUCUAACUUCUCAAGUGCUUCUUACUCAGUUUAUGAGAUUGAUUCUCCAUUCCACAUUGCCUACCAAGGCCAGUUUGAUUCUGUUAGCUAUAUCAGGGCCUUCCUUUGGUACAUGGGUAGCAUGAAAACAAAUGAGAACAAAAUUUAGUUUAAUUGGGGUAUUUCCCAAGUACUGAAGGUCUAAUGUCAUCAUAGCAAGUUAGCUGACUAGUGCUCAGAUGGGAAAGAUGGAAAAUGUAGGAGGAUUCUACAGCGUGUAACUACAGUCAGUUCUUCAGUGUGUAACUGUAGAACAGACUACUUUGCAGAUUGAUGCUUGAAAUGUACAAGAUGUGGCAAAUAGCAUAAUGUUUUACCUUAAUGUUCUGGUACAACACAUUAGGAACAUCAGUCACUUUGGAAAGGUGCUCAAAACCCCUGUGGGUUCUCCAAGGAUCUACAGAUAGCCAAUAAUGUAUAGAAAUCCUAUCUGGUUUGGAGCCUGUCUGCCAGCACCAUUUUUGUCUACUUUGAGUCCUGUCAGGUUUCUGCUUCUGCAUUUUGUUCAGUGAUGGCAAUGUGAUAUGCAGAGAUAUCUUUGGGAGUAGAAAGUGGCACCUAAGAUUUGCUCACCCUCCUGUCGUCUCCAGCCCCUCCGCGGCUGCAUAGAUAAGAGCCUGCCAGCUUGUUCUCUACUGCACCCUUUUCACCUUGCUUUAUUUAAUGUAUAAUGAUAAAGCAUUGGCAGAUUAGUUGAGGAAUAUUUUUAUUUUAUUUUAUUUUACUUUAUUUUAUUUCAUUUUAUUUUAUUUUGUUGAGAAGUAAAUUUGUUUAAGGGCUACUUUACUCCAGCUAGGUGCACUAUCUUAGGACAGUAAUAUUGAAAAGUGAGAGAACUUGCCAAUAGUGGCAAUAAAAUAGCAAUGCUGAUUUAUUAUAUGAAAUAUAUAUAAUUUAAAAAUUGAAAUACCAUGAAAAGACCAAAUUAAAGGUGUAAAUACAGAUGGUUAUCCUCCAACAGAUUUUAGAAGAUUAGUUUUCUAGACUAUCAUGAUAUUUUAGUAGUAAGUGCUAAUAUUAGGAGAGAGACAUGAAGAGAUCUGAACACAUUAGGUCUAAUCACCCAUGUUUCUUCCAUAGAAUAGGAAAAUUGUGGCAAUAUCUCUUAAAUGACAGGCUUAAAUAUCUGCAAUAGCAGUGCAAAUUUUGGACUUCGGGAAGUAUUUUUAAUGUUACUGCCUUUACAUAAUUACCUUAAUGUGAAGAAAGGCAUAUCAUGCUCCAUUGCUCCUUGUGUGUGCUUUAAGGAAAAAAAAAAAUCUUUCUAUAAAAAGCUUCUUAGCUUUAAUUGAGCAAAAGGGUUCAUAUGGGGCCUGGAGUUGCAGCUCAUAAUUUCUGUAGGCAGGUUAGGCUGCUGUGUGAUGAUCCUAAUGAAAUUAUAUAAAAGCAUUGAGCUAGACAAACCCAAGUAGCCGCUCCAUCAGCGCAGCAGGUGAAUGGAGCCCGUUCGGGAGCCCGAGUUCGCCCGCGCGGUUCUGCCGGGAGCCGCUCCCCGAGCUGGAGUUGGCGCCGGCGGUCCUUAGGUGGCAGCAUUGUCAGCGUUUGUGCGGCUCGGGAUGCGCCGGGAAUCCUGCGCGCUCCAGACCUCCCCCACUCACUGCGCUGAGCGACCAGGGCCGAGUGAACAUCGUUACAUACAGGACAGCAACUGCUGGAAGGAAACAAGAUCAGGAGAGGACCUGUAGAGAUCUGGAAAACAUGGCGUGUCUUUUAACUAUCUGAUGGUCUAUACAAUCCGUCAGUGAAACCUUGUAAAAAGAGGGGGAUGGAAGUCAGAAAACAAUUAUGUGAACAAGAAGCAAAGGAAACGCUCCUCCUUGGAUCAACAGUUCCUGGUGAGGAAUCCACCCAUUCAACUGGCUUGAUCAAUGAGCCAUUACAGAGUGGCAGACAUCCAUGCAGAGGGUGUCUCUGAGGUGAGGAAUGGGAAUCAUGGGAAAAGGAUGCACACCCAUCCCAGAUCUUCUCCUGAAGAUGUGUCCCAUCAUUUUGCUGGUAAUUCCUACCAUCUCACUAGUGGGCCUUUGAAGCUCCCAACUGGGUUCCAGGCCCCUGGGUCUCAGACUUUUGAACUUUCUGCAUGACCAGUCUGAAUGACAUCUGGACCCCUGCCUCAUUCAGUGCACAGGACAAACACAUGUGAGAGAUUUCAGAGUGCAUAUGCAGCCACCAGUUUAGCAGUUCCUGACAUGUUUUUUUCAUCUGAUCUGGUGCUUUUAAAUGAUUUUGGAUUAUCAACUGUCACACUAUAAGGAGCAGAGUAAGCACCAGUAAAUGAAGGAGAUCAUCUGGAAAAGGCCAAUGCUAAGCAUAAUAAAUCAUUAUGGAACAGAGAACUGUAAGGAAUAGAACAUCUUCCAGAUGACCAUGCUUUCUCGGCCCAGGAGACAGCCCAGUCUCUACAAGCAGCAGGACUCAGCAAGGCCCAAGGAAUGCCUCAGGUGGUGCCUCCUGUUGGCUGUUUUGGAAUGGGCUGUGCUGGUGACGGAUACAUCAGAGAUGACCUGUUAUGGGCUAACCCCAGCAGGCAGCUAAGGACCACACAGCUGUUUGCUCACUCUUCCCAAGAGUGAAGGGGAGAGACCUGGAAGGACAAAAGUGAGAAACCUCAUGGACUGAAGUAAAGACAGUGUCAUAGGAACAGCAAAAGCCAUGCAUGCAAGCAAAGCAAAACAAGGAAGAGUUCAUUGGUUCCCAUGUCCAGGCAGGUUUUCAGCCAUUCCUAGGAAAGCAGAGCUCCAGGAAAUGUAACCACCACUUGAAAAAACAAACACCGCCGCUUCAAACAUUUUUCCUUAUUUCUGCCAAAUUCCAUUGUGCAUCAUGUCAUGAAGUAUGGAACAUCCUUUUGGUCACUGGGAUCAGCGGUCUUGGCUUGUCCCCUGCCAAAAACUUGUGUACCCCCAGUCUACUCACUGGCAGGGAAGUGUGAGAAACACAAAAGACCUGAGUGCUGUGCAAGUGCUGCUCAACAAUAGCUAAAACAUCCCCAUCUUAUCAACACUGCUUCAGUCAAAAUCCAAAGCACAGCACUACAUGAUCUAUUACAAGUAAAAUUGAAACUAAUUUACUAAAACUUAGUAAAUUAACAUAUUUAAUUAAACUUAACUCUAUGCCAGCACAUAUCUCCAGUUUUCAAAGGUAAUGUGCCCAGAGGAGUUUUCUUGUGGGUCCAAAUUAAGGCAAGAUCACUUGUCAACUACAGUUUGAAGUAAAACACAUUUUUGAGAAUUUUAUUUAUUGCAAAUUAAUAUAUAUAUUUUUGGACUGGGUCUUGGGAAACAAGAAAAACCCAAACCCAAAACCAACAGCAAAAGGAAACAAACACAUAUUUAGUGAAAACACCUUUGUUCCCUCUUUUCUUGCCUCAACUUUACUAACAUGCUCAGCUUAUCUUCAAGUAUCUCUCCUCACCAUCAUAAUCUCAGCCUCAAUUUUUCAUCACAGGCACCUAUCUUCUGGCACUUGAUCCCUCCACAGGCUACACUCAGUCCCUUCAGCAAGACGGUCAGCAGUGUACAAUCAGGACAGAGUAGUUUCAUUCUGCUGCUGCUUCCAUCCCACUUUUUUCUCAUGCUCCAGUGUGGGUCCUGCACAGUCUGCAUUCCCUUCAGGGAAUUCUGUGUUCCAAUGUGCUCAUCCAUGGACAUAUUCCCUUUGGGGAUCUAUCUGUGCCAAAAGCCUGGAUGAUGGACUCAGCCUUGGCUUGCAGUAGUCCUGUUGUGGAGCUGUCUGGAGCCAGUAGUGUCCAGCACGAUCCUACAGCAGCCAGCCCUGAAAUCCUCAGUCCCUCCCAGAACCUGGCCAUCCACACCCAUACAGUUAUGUGCCACACACUGUGUGGUUUGUCCCUUCCUGUCUGCUGGUUUCCCUUAGCCCAAAUAGACAGGGGAAAGAGAAAUGCUCUUCAACACUUCUGAACCUCAUCAGGAACCGGGCAGUCCAGAAUCAUGAUUAUUCUCUUUCACCGUUUCCAAAUGUAAUAUCCAUGUAUGGAAAUUUCACCUAGAAACCAUAGUGUUCCUGUAGGGAAAAUUCCAACCCAUCUGACAUGCCACUGUAUUUUCUCAUAUCUUUAACCUGUCAUAACUGCAAUAAAAAACAAUUUUCUCUGAAGGUUUUGAGGCUUCCCUGCACCAUUAGUCUAAUGCUGUAAAACUCUGCUUAGUUUUACUAUUGGCAUUAUCAUAAACAAUGUCACAUCUCAGAGCAUUCCAAAUUCAAAUCAGGGACUUAUAAGAAUGUUCUUAUAAUGUGAAGUAAUGAAAAAUCUUCCAAGCAACCCUGACUUUAACACGCUGAAUCACAGUUAUCCAAAUAUCUGGACUUUUGAGAUUCUGCCAUCAAUAAAAGCUUAUUUCUGUAACACCUCUGAUGUUGAU